UAUUACAUGGCUACACGACUCACUUACUCUACUCGUGUCGGUGUCUAGUGAGGUCUAGGUGUUGUGGUGAGGAUGAGCCACGAAGAAAGCAAGCAGAGACCGAGAGACGCCGCUGAAAAUCGCCACCAGAGGAGGGUUAGCCGCUGCCGCUGCCGCGGUUUCUCAACCUAGAUAACUUGUGAGAGCGAGUCGUCUCCCUAAACGAUUGACCUCCACGUCUCAACGACACAUCACAACUUCUUGACCUAGAUAAGAGGUGAUCAAGUAGAACCCAUCGACAACGUUUCCUAAGACGUUUAACCUAAACUUCCUCGACUAUAAGUCCUUCAAGUUGGGUUCCUGUCACCAUAUCACCACGCAUCUAGCCCUCGUUUCUGUUUAUUUCCUAACACUAUACCUCCGACGACGAGCCCGUAACUGGGGACAGGAGGCAUUCGAGCCACUCGACGAGCGGUCUCUUAUGUUGGACCUCUUGGCUCAUUUCUUUCCACAUGUCAGUGAGGAAUAUCUCAACCUCUACUACGUGCGGCAUGAAGCACUCCAACCGUUCCACGGCGGCAUAGUCGAGGUCCUCGGCCAGGCCUAAACCCGACCGUUCCACUCUCUGGACAGAACACUGUACCUUCUGCGACAACUGCUGAAGGACCACGCACAACCACUCCCAAGUCCGUCAUUCGGUUGCCUGUACUCCUGAGCUCAGUUCUUCAAGGAGUUCUUCUGGUGGUUUGACAAACAAUUCCCGUUUCGUGAAGUAGUUUAUACACUACGGUAACUUCUUCGAGUCCUAGAACGGUUCCUCAACCACCUGGAUGCAUUUUCCAUACUCGAACUGUACACAUCGUGAUGGUCGCCACGAUGGUAACUGGGAGCACACAAUCGAGAUGUGUUUUUACAUCUCCUCGAACAACCCCAACUGGCGUGUUCCCUACUCGAAUAGUUUUGUGACUAAACACUCCUGCCCUCAGGGUUCCUCGUUAACUUCUGCUAGAGAUAACAACCACAACCACCCGAUCCGUUCUGUUGCGAGUGGUUUCGUCAGAUACUCUUCUAGUUUUGGGUUAAACUAACACACCGAAAACAGGGGCACCCAGUCUUGGGUCUAUAGUUCUUUCAAAAGUUCCUGAAUGAGAUACCGGAACUGUGACUUUUCAAGUCACUGUAAGUAUUAUGUUGUGCCCUACUUUUAGAUGAGUAGUUCGUUUAGUCACUAAUGGAACACCUAUUCUCCAUGGAGUAGCAUUAGCUACUAUAUACCCUUCUUGUUUAUACCUCUACAUAUUUAACACGAAACAUAUUUUUGUUUGAAGUAUCAGCCCAUUAGUGUUGUUGGGCGUUAUACUCACACAGACUUCGUACAGAGAGAAGGUCACUACUGUACUAAGUGUUUUACUUUGGAGAAAGGCUACUUCUCAGCGUCUAUGAGAACGUAUCUUCUUAUAAAGUUUCGCUCCUCUUUACAGGUCUUCUAAACGCUCGUCAUAGUUCUCUCUAUGACUUCUUUACACCACCUCAUGGUAAUCGGUAGUAAUGUUAUCGAUCGGAACAUUGGUUUCCUAUUUCGUCUUUCUUCUUACCUACGUACACGUGUCAAGCUACCCGGCACCUCAAUGUCUUCCACCAUAACACUUCCUGUACUUCUCCUAUAAUAGUGAGUCGAUAAUACUAAACGGAAGCGUAGACUUCCGAACAAACAAUAUGGAUUCGUAGAAAGGACUUCUGAAACUCUAAUUGUCUCUAAACGACUAUACCUCCACCGAACGACUUCCCAAAUAGGUUACACUGUUUCUACUUUGGUCCGACAAACUCUAGCCUUUCUCGAUGAAGUUGCUCGAAUACUUGUCCUCGAACUAGGUCGGUCGCCUUUGGUUAAUACUUCCUUGUCAUCAUUGAACGGCAUAUGUACUAUACCACGAACUGGAAUAUACGAGCGACAGUUCACUCCUCUUAAAAUAGAGGUAUAACCUAUUACGCCUCACCUUACGUGGAUUAGCCGUUUCUUUAAAGCGUCCAAUAGUGAAGUAUUAUAGUUCCGUUUCCAAGUCUUGGUAGUCUAACUUUCGUGAUCGGACAGUUUUCACUCCUGGAAACGACAAAAAAGAGGACAAUGGACACUAACCAACGGUAGAGAGAGUUCGAAAGUUAAAAACGCACACGACCUAGAACCUUUAACACCGUCGGUACUUUCAUCGAGACCGUAGUCGGAGUUCAUACAUCCCUUAAAUUAAGUGGAUUCCAUGGAUCCCGAGUUCCUACGUCUACAAGCGCUUGAGGGUUACCUGUAUCCGUUCAACGUCGAAAACGUCUGUGACCUAUAUUCUCUGUGAUCAUAUUUUCUUAAUGGACGUUCACAACAAGUCGAGUCUUUAAACUAUACGGAUGCACAGUUAAUAUCCCACUCCGGCGGUUUUCCUUACCCCUCGAACUACAGGGAACUUCACGACCUUGUUCAUCCGAAUGGGAGUAGAGGAGUGUAACGCCUUCUCGACUAAGUAGACUGUCUCCAAUCCUGUGAGUCAUAACUGACACGAUUGUACUUGCUCCUAAACUAACUAUAUAAUUAGUUCAGAGAUCCGUUGGACGUGUUUAACGUUUUAAACAGAUAAUAAAUACCACCGCCUAACUAUCUAGCGUACGCACUUUCGACCCACGGGGGAGGUUUGGAGGCAUCAAAAAUAAGUACCACAGGGAGAAAAGGACGCACCAAGAGCUCUGAAGGUUUCACCCAAUUAAGUUCAAGCGAAGGGGUGGAGAGGUGGUACUUUUAUCUACACCUUCUUGACGUUCCCCUACUGUAAGCCUAGUAACCCUACGACGGACGAGAAGCCAAAGACGCUGAACGACGUUUUGCGCACUACCCUUCCAACCAACACUCCCGGUUACGUAAGGGUAGACGCUCUUCGACGCAUAAGUCUCCCAAAGACUGUGGCGGCACGGAAAAAGGUGGACCUCGAUACGGUUCCCAAGUUGCGGAACUGAAGUUCCAGAGACGCGCCAGCUAGCGCUCACCAGUCCAACUGACGCCGUACCCGGUGGAGGGAAGAGAGCUCGUACAGGCCCAAAGAGACACCACACUCUUAAGGUCGCUACUUCUCUACCUCUGUCGGUUCCGAACCGACUCCGCGCGUCGUCUUCGGGUAGGUUUUACAGGGUGGUAAGUUUAGGUACAGUCGGUUCCGAACCUUCUGGUACUUAGGAGAAAGGGACUUAUGCGAUCAAUAGUGUAACAAAUUAGAUAGGAAGAAUGAAGGGGUUAAAGUCCCGAACUUGUUUUAGGACCUCAGUCCAUGACAUUAAGGUAGUCAACGACACUUACAACAAGGUUGUAAGGCUAUCCGUUGUUUGUUAAGAGACACGGCAGCGGGCAGCGUCAGUGGUUGUUAGUGACAUGGUGGCGUCGAGGGUUAUUUGCUGCCGUGUUAGGGAGGUUGCAUACAAGUCUAAGACCGGAAACGAUCUGCCUCCGGAGGCGUACUAACAAGUACUGUUUGAUGACAUAAACGAUAAGAAAGACGUAUACGAAAGUCUUUGAUAAACAGUUCUGAGCAUGUUAUUUAACGACGGAGAUGCAAAUAAACUAACAAGUGUAUGUCGUAGCAAAACAAAGAUGACCG
rnacentral:rRNA from 1 species